CUGACCAUAGGGAUCGAGGCCACCUAGCACCUUCUCCUAAAGGGUCUAUUCUGAGUUGAAUACUUUCCCAGUAUCUGUGAAAGAAGAACAUGAGCUAUGGCUAUUGGCUUGCUCCAUUUUUAGCAUUAAAAAACAUGUCACCUUCUUGUCAGUGAAUACUGUUUGUAAGCAAUGUGUGCCUUAUCCUGUAAUCAAAGACAUGUCGCCUGCGAUGAAGAUGUGACUUCCAAGCACCAACGAAUCUUCAAGUGCAGGAAUGUUUGAAAAUUUUCUAUUUAUUUUCAAACACGGAAAUUUUAGUCAGAACAGCUUUUAUUUUUAUUUUUUUGGAUGGUGAAUAAUUUGCAAGAUGAUAGGAAAAUGGAUUUUCCUUGACUUCAGAUACAUCAGAUGAGAGAAAAUUGCAAAGAGCAUAAUGUUGAAGAUAGCUAAACUUUAUUGAUAAAUCAAUGAGAUAAAUUUUA